ensembl:misc_RNA 7SK 7SK RNA
GUAUGUAAUGACAGUAUGGCUGUGACAUCUACCACCACUUUUAUUGAAAGAGCUGAUUCUGCUGCUUUUCAUGACAAUGUGGGUGUUCCAUUCCUUCCUGGCCUCUCUAUGUAUGUCCUUCCCAAACCUGUAUGCUACUGAUAGAGGAGGGCUGGUCUUUGGUUAAGGGUGUAUAAUAGCUGCACUCCCAUGAUAGAGCCUAUAUACAAGUUUCCAAUUUAUUCCUAGAAAGCUAAUUGAUGAGCAGUUGUAUAAAUAUAACAUUUUUGUUGUCUGAUUGAAUUGCAAGGGGAUUUGA